ACCUCUCCUUCUCUCUCUCGAAUCACAAUCGCGGCCUCUCCUCCUCACGCGAGCACCACAGCGUCACCGUUCGAUGCUCUAGCAUCGUCGAUUCCAAUCAACCCACCUCCGAUCAAGAGGAGGAUCGGAACCCUAGAUUUUCCCUUGCUGCAUCAUGCCCUAAUUUCCUAAUGCCACGAGCUACCUGCCCAGAUCUUAGCUGGGAGCAGCGGUUUGCCUUGCUAUGAUUAGGAGUUGUCAACCCCAGACGUCGGGUCUUUGUUGCCAACUGUUAUUGCCGGAGAUGAAGGGAAUUUGGGAUUACAGGAGAAGUAGAGAAUAGUUGUAGAUCAUCACUGUUGGUUGUAAGCCACUUCCAGCGCUACCUUGUUGCCAAAUUUGGGGAUUUUGAUUCGGGACGAGCUUCUCGAUGUAGGACUUUGAUUCGAUCUUCUAUUGAAGGCAAGUACUUCUUGAUUUGUUUCUUUUAGUACUUUGACCUUGGUGCAUGAACUAUUGUGGAUAAGUAACUAUUUUACCUUGACUCCACUCUUAUUUUCCUGCGCUUGAUACUUCCACUCAAACCUUUGAGUUAUUCAUUUUUAUAUCCAUACAGUUUCUCAUUGUUAUCCAUUAUACGUAGCAGAUACUAGAUAUCAUGUUUACUUGUUUUGAUUAUUGUUUAUUUAUGUACUGUAUUGAGCAUACUGGCUUCAUGUAGUAUACAUAAUUUCUGCUUAUAUUUGUAUGAUGACUGUUGCAUUUGGCACAUCAUAUCAUAGCAUGCAUGUCAACGAAAAAUUCUCUCUUGCGGUCGAGAGAGUCAUUGACCAGGGCCGCAUCCUCGACCACUCGAGAGAGAGGUAGCUGGAGUUGAUGCCGCUUGUCCUGUCGUACUUCCACUCAGUCACUCAUAAGUAGUGAUAGCUGGAG